rnacentral:rRNA from 1 species
CCUUUUGCAUCAUGAUUUAGCUAGAAAAUUUCAAGCAAAGAGAACUUUAGUUUGACACCCCGAAACUAUGUGAGCUACUCCAAGACAGCCUAGCAAUAGGGCGAACCCGUCUCUGUGGCAAAAGAGUGGGAAGAGCUUUGAGUAGAGGUGACAGACCUACCGAACUUAGUUAUAGCUGGUUGCCUGAGAAAUGAAUAGGAGUUCAGCCUCCCGGAUUUCUCCCGUCCAUCCCAGUUUAUACCCCUGCACCAGUGAACAAGAGAAGCCGAGAGAGUUAGUCAAAGGGGGUACAGCCCCUUUGACACAAGACACAACUUUCCCAGGAGGGAAAAGAUCAUACUUAUGACAGUAAGGUAGAAUGUUUUGGUGGGCCUAAAAGCAGCCA